rnacentral:rRNA from 1 species
ACGGACUCCUACGGGAGGCAGCAGUAGGGAAUUUUCCGCAAUGGGCGAAAGCCUUGACGGAGCAAUGCCGCGUGGAGGUAGAAGGCCCACGGGUCGUGAACUUCUUUUCCCGGAGAAGAAGCAGAUGACGGUAUCUGGGGAAUAAGCAUCGGCCAAACUCCGUGCCAGCAGCCGCGGUAAU